rnacentral:misc_RNA from 1 species
AUGUGGCCAGCGUGCAUAAUUUUAUUCUUAUGCCUUGCUAAUGGCAUUUUGUGCUCAAGUAGCACUGCGCGGCUAGCUCCAGCAAACGACAUUCUGUCAGCAAAAUUACCGGAAUUAUAUUCCAGCUAGUCAGCGUAUCCUGAGGUCAGAUUGACGCUUCGGAGUCAGUCCAUGCAAAUGCGAACCUUCACGGGUUAUGCAUGCUUGAAUUACGAUGUUGCGGAGAGCUGAUGCUGUUGUGCCUGCGUGGCUCCUUCGGCCUCCCACAUCCAUUGAGUGGGUUCCGGGUGAAUUUUAUCUAUUCUGUUCUGAGCUGAAGCUUGCUUCUCGACCGAGGGCUGCCAAGGCAAUCAUCGGCGUGUUGUGAGUGGAAGCUUUUACCAUUGUUAAGCCGGCUGGCUUGUCCUGUACGUCGGGCGUGCAGUUUUGCUCGUUUCGACUGUGUCUAUACGAUAUCCCGAAAGAUGACAAAUCUUGUAACUGUGUACGCACGUACGCAGACAAAAAGCCGAAGCAGUAAAUUCCUUCUGCCGGCAUUGGUGCAUGUGGUCCACAUGAAAUUUUUGGAUGUGUGGAAGCGCCAUGAGCAUUGUACCUGGUGUGAGCGUAAUUUCAACGCACGGGUAGUGUUCUAAAAACCGCAAACCAUAUACCUCAGCUUUGCUGGGUAUUGUGAACAAUCUGGUUGAUCCUGCCAG